rnacentral:rRNA from 1 species
AUUGAACGCUGGCGGCAGGCUUAACACAUGCAAGUCGAGCGGGGAAGGGUAGCUUGCUACCUAACCUAGCGGCGGACGGGUGAGUAAUGCUUAGGAAUCUGCCAUUUAGUGGGGGACAACAUUCCGAAAGGAAUGCUAAUACCGCAUACGUCCUACGGGAGAAAGCAGGGGAUCUUCGGACCUUGCGCUAAAUGAUGAGCCUAAGUCGGAUUAGCUAGUUGGUGGGGUAAAGGCCUACCAAGGCGACGAUCUGUAGCGGGUCUGAGAGGAUGAUCCGCCAACCUGGGACUGAGACACGGCCCAGACUCCUACGGGAGGCAGCAGUGGGGAAUAUUGGACAAUGGGCGGAAGCCUGAUCCAGCCAUGCCGCGUGUGUGAAGAAGGCCUUAUGGUUGUAAAGCACUUUAAGCGAGGAGGAGGCUACUAGUAUUAAUACUACUGGAUAGUGGACGUUACUCGCAGAAUAAGCACCGGCUAACUCUGUGCCAGCAGCCGCCGUAACAC